rnacentral:lncRNA from 1 species
CCGCUCGUCACGCGGUUGCUCCGCUCAGCCGUUGUUGCUGCUCUUCCACUACUGCUGCCAUUGUGUGCUGCUGGUGCUAAUUCAGGAGACAAUACAUCAAGUCCUGCAAGCAAGUCUCUGUCCAUCUUUUAUAUCAUCACCAACAACAACAGCAGCUCCCACCGAAGCUGGAUUGUCUCAACCUACCCCAAAUCUUUGAAGAGCCGAAGAACAAUUUGUGAAGGCUUCAUGGUACCAAGGGCUGAAGAACAGUUUGUGAAAGCCUCGAGGUCCACUUCAUUGAGGAGGGGAUGCAUCUUUCCUACUUAA